AGCGAACGCUGGCGGCAGGCCUAACACAUGCAAGUCGAACGGACCCUUCGGGGUUAGUGGCGGACGGGUGAGUAACACGUGGGAACGUGCCUUUAGGUUCGGCAUAGCUCCUGGAAACGGGUGGUAAUGCCGAAUGUGCCCUUCGGGGGAAAGAUUUAUCGCCUUUAGAGCGGCCCGCGUCUGAUUAGCUAGUUGGUGAGGUAACGGCUCACCAAGGCGACGAUCAGUAGCUGGUCUGAGAGGAUGACCAGCCACACUGGGACUGAGACACGGCCCAGACUCCUACGGGAGGCAGCAGUGGGGAAUCUAGCGCAAUGGGCGAAAGCCUGACGCAGCCAUGCCGCGUGAAUGAUGAAGGUCUUAGGAUUGUAAAAUUCUUUCACCGGGGACGAUAAUGACGGUACCCGGAGAAGAAGCCCCGGCUAACUUCGUG
rnacentral:rRNA from 1 species